rnacentral:piRNA from 1 species
UCUAGUUUGUCCUGAAUAUUGUAUGUGG